UUGUUGGCCCGGCGCGGCCAGUGCUACUGGGGGCGUCCCUCUCUGGCCCUCCCAGGGACAAGUGACUUGAUGGUAGAUUUUGCCAAGCCCCUCACAUGAUUCUAUGAAACUCAUGGGAGCGAGGAACAGCUGCUGCGCGGAGGUGGCAGUGUGUGUGCUAAAUCCCUUUAGUUCCUGCUCUGCUUUUCCUCCAGAAAGGGAUGAGCGUCUAACAGGGGCCCCGGUCUGAACCCGCCUGCCAAAGUGAGGUUUGCUCACAUCCAACCCCUGACAGCUCCAGGGUGCUGUUACUGCGAGCAGGGCACCGGCCCUCCGGCCCGAAGCAGGGCAGGGACAUGAGGGAGAACGCGCCCUGUCCCUCCCACCUCCUCCGGACUCGGCCCCUGGAGGGGCUGACGCUGGAAGACCUGACAUCGUCGCUUCUGAUGUUCAUGGCUUUUGACCCAUGUUCAGGUUUGAAAUCUCUUACCCAGUUUAAGAACGGGAUGAACUCUCCUCGUUUAAAGGAGAGAAUGAAGAACGCUGAACGCAAAUCUCCGUCCUUGUGCGCAUAAAUCUGAGGCGACAGGAAGAAUGUGGAGGCAAACCUGGCUCUUCUCAGUACUGCUGGAGCCACCCACCGCUCUGCCAUUCAGGAACUCUGCGCGGGUGCCAGGUGCCACGCGCGGUGCUGCCCCCGCACUCCCCUCGAGCUGUGCGAACUGUAGGAAGGAGAAGAGCUGCAGGAAGUUCUGGGGGAGGGGAAGGGGGAUUAUGACCAGAUGGAAAUGAAAGGAAACGGGAGACUGUAUUAAUAAACUAGCAGCUUUAUUGCCCUUCAGGGGCCAUGUCUUCACUUGAGAUGUCGAAUUGCUUGAGGGAGGAAAACCUGUAAGAAAUGAUGGAGAUCAGGGAACAGGCCUUGGGGAUCCUGGAGCGGGGUCACAGUGAGCAUUC
rnacentral:lncRNA from 1 species